rnacentral:rRNA from 1 species
UACAGAGGUCCCGAGCGUUUGUUCGGAUUCACUGGGCGUAAAGGGUGCGUAGGUGGCGUGGUAAGUUUGAUGUGAAAGCUCAGGGCUUAACCCUGAAAUGGCAUUGAAUACUACUAUGCUGGAGGUUUGGAGGGGGGACUGGAAUUCUUGGUGUAGCAGUGAAAUGCGUAGAUAUCAAGAGGAACACCAGUGGCGAAGGCGAGUCCCUGGACAACACCUGACACUGAGGCACGAAAGCUAGGGGAGCAAACAGG